rnacentral:tRNA from 1 species
GAAAACCGUCGACUUUAAAAAUCGUGAGGGUUCAAGUCCCUCUAUCCCCA